UACGUAGGGGGCUAGCGUUGUCCGGAAUCAUUGGGCGUAAAGCGCGUGUAGGCGGUCCGGUAAGUCCGCUGUGAAAGUCGGGGGCUCAACCCUCGGAUGCCGGUGGAUACUGUCGGGCUUGAGUACGGAAGAGGCGAGUGGAAUUCCAGGUGUAGCGGUGAAAUGCGUAGAUAUCUGGAGGAACACCGGUGGCGAAGGCGGCAUUCUGGACUGCAACUGACACUGAAAGACGAAAGCCAGGGGAGCAAACGGG
rnacentral:rRNA from 1 species